CAAGUUUGGGGUCCACUGAGCCAGAGGAGCAAUAGCAGUAACUUGGACCUUAAUGAGGGAACGGCUGGAAUAGGUCCAGAUGGCAAGGGAAGGAGUUGCAGAACUGCCUCGGUGCUGCUGGUUGGACAGUUAUUCUCACCAACAAGAAGGCAGACCACGGUGAGUCUAUCUGCAGCUGGUCCCGCUUACUGAGGGGAAAAGAGAAGACUUCCCCCUGUAACCUGGCUGGAAGCCUUCCCAAGUGGAAGCUAAAAAGGAGCUGCCUCUUGGUGACAUCAAUGUGAGCCCUGAACUGUACCUAAAGCCUAACUGCGCAUGGACUUGUCGCUGAAAGAUUGUUAAGGAAUUUUCUGGACCUUAUCAAGGCCUUGGCCUUAGGAAAUGCAGAAAGUCUUGUGAGGUGACUACACUUCCUUGCCCGUCACAGUGCUCAGCGUCCA
rnacentral:lncRNA from 1 species